GAUGAACGCUGGCGGCGUGCCUAAUACAUGCAAGUCGAGCGAACGGACGAGAAGCUUGCUUCUCUGAUGUUAGCGGCGGACGGGUGAGUAACACGUGGAUAACCUACCUAUAAGACUGGGAUAACUUCGGGAAACCGGAGCUAAUACCGGAUAAUAUUUUGAACCGCAUGGUUCAAAAGUGAAAGACGGUCUUGCUGUCACUUAUAGAUGGAUCCGCGCUGCAUUAGCUAGUUGGUAAGGUAACGGCUUACCAAGGCAACGAUGCGUAGCCGACCUGAGAGGGGGAUACGCCAAACUGGAAAUGAGAAAAGGGCCAGACUCCUAAGGGAGGCAGCAGGAGGGAAAUUUUCGCAAAGGGGGAAAGCCUGAAGGAGAAAAGCCGCGGGAGUGAAGAAGGGCUUCGGAUUGUAAAAACCUGUUAUUAGGGAAGAAAAAAUGUGGAAGGAAACAGGGAAGUUUUGACGGGAACUAAACAGAAAGCCCAGGCUAACUAAGUG
rnacentral:rRNA from 1 species